GAUGAAGAACGCAGUGAAAUGCGAUAAGUAAUGUGAAUUGCAGAAUUCAGUGAAUCAUCGAAUCUUUGAACGCACAUUGCGCCCGCCAGUAUUCUGGCGGGCAUGCCUGUUCGAGCGUCAUUUCAACCAUCAAGCCCCCGGGCUUGUGUUGGGGACCUGCGGCUGCCGCAGGCCCUGAAAAGCAGUGGCGGGCUCGCUGUCACACCGAGCGUAGUAGAUUUUAUCUCGCUCUGGGCGUGCUGCGGGUUCCGGCCGUUAAACCACCCUUUUAACCCAAGGUUGACCUCGGAUCAGGUAGGAAGACCCGCUGAACUUAAGCAUAUCAUAAGCGGAGGA
rnacentral:misc_RNA from 1 species